GUGAUUGGGCAUAACAAACCGGUAAGGACAGUUUAAAGAAAAAAUUAAGUUAACAUAAAGUUAGGGAGGUCGUGAUUGGGCAUAACAAACCGGUAAGGACAGUUUAAAGAAAAAAUUAAGUUAACAUAAAGUUAGGGAGGUCGUGAUUGGGCAUAACAAACCGGUAAGGACAGUUUAAAGAAAAAAUUAAGUUAACAUAAAGUUAGGGAAGUCGUGAUUGGGCAUAACAAACCGGUAAGGACAGUUUAAAGAAAAAAAAUUAAGUUAACAUAAAGUUAGGGAAGUCGUGAUUGGGCAUAACAAACCGGUAAGGACAGUUUAAAGAAGAAAAAAAA